rnacentral:lncRNA from 10 species
CUUUCUUUCAAAGUUUGACAACUGUUUAUUGAACACUCAUUAUGCAGAUUAAGGGCUUGUUCCCUGCCCUCCAGAAGUGGUCAUUUCCAGCAUCUAAUCCUGGGUGAGAGGGAAGGAUCAAUCAGAAAAAAGAGAGGAAAUGGCUUUCUGGAAAAAGUAGGGGUGGGAGGUAGUGGAAGAGGGGUAAAGGGAGAGGGAGGGCCCUCCAGCUUGGGGGAAAUGGUGAUAGCAAAGGCUUAGAGGCAAGGGUGAGUAAGAAGACAUUAGCCUUUUUGAAAGAGUGAAUUCAUGGUGGAAGAGAUGGGAGAUGGGUUUAGCUAAGUGCUGGUAGAUGGCAAAAUUGGAAGGGUGUGAGAGAUCCUGAUGUGCGGUUUGACUUUGGUCUUUAUUUGAUUGAUUGAUUUAUUUUGGAGACCGGAUCUCACUGUCUCACCUAGAGCUGGGAUGCACUGGCAUGAUCAUAGCUCCUUGCAGCCUCAAACUCCUGGGCUCAAGUCAUCCUCCCACCUCAGCCUCCUGAGUAGCUGGGACUACAGGCAUGUGCCACCAUACCCAGUUAAUUAAUUUUUUUUUUUAGAGACAGGGUCUUGCUGUGUUGCCCAGGCUGGUCUCUUAACUCCUGGCCUCAAGUGAUCCUCCCGCUUCAGACUCUCAAAGUCGGGAAUACAGGUGUGAGCCACUGUCCAGUACCCUGGUCUUUAAAUAAUAUGGUAUGUUGUGUCUUCUUGAGUGUUCCAGGGAGAUCACUGUUAUAGAUGGUAUGGAGGACACAUGAAAAGUGGGAUGGAAAAGCAGAGAGGCAAGGGAGGAAGUUGGUUGCAAAGAUGCAGAUAUGAGAAGCUGAGGACUUGAGCCUGGACAGUAACAUGUCAGGGAAGAGAAGACCGGCAUGAAAGUUGUUUCAAAAUCAGGCUGGACUGGGCAUGGUGUCUGGUGGCAUAUGAAGGAUGCAAGAAGAGAGGGGUCAUAGAUUGACUGCAGAAAUCUGAACCUGGGAUCUGAGGUUGAGGAUACCAGGGAACGCUUGGAGGAGUAACCGGGAAGAAAAGCCCUGAGUUUUUAGUGACGACACCAACUUGCCAGCCAAGGAGGAGUGGUUUUGGAGAGAAAGAAUGGUUCUUACCUUACUAACUCUCCAGGGUAAAGGAAAGAACUGGAAGUUGGGAAUGCAUUGGCCUCAGGAGGAGGUUUGACCUCCAAGUGAGAUGCAGGAGCCAGCAGAGGUUGGAUUGGGGUAGGAGGGGAUGAGUGGGCUUUGGUUUGUCUAUGGAAAAUCUUGAGCUUUAUCCAGUUUCUGCUUCAUGGGAGAAAGAAGACCACAGGAACAGAAAGUGGGAUAAGUGAAUGCACUCUUAGGUCUCUUCGGUUGCAUUAAUAAAGAUAGAAAGUCCAGCCUGAGGGAGGUGAUGUUAAUGUUGCCACCAUGCCUUGUGCUAAGUUUUGGCUGGCUUGCUCUAAUAAGGACAGGAGGACCUGCAUGAAGGGUGUGAUGGAAAAGAAACUGGGUGCCAUUUGGCCUUGGGAACAGAAGAUCUUGGGGAGAGGUAAGAGCUGCCUCUAAAUUUCUGUGAGACAGAAAGAAUGCUGGAAGGAAAGCUCCUCCUGGUCUUUCUACUUCUACUGCAGAUACAGCCGUUUCCGGAGGGUGCUUUGGAUUUCAG